AAGCUAAACCAUUUACAAAAGUUACAUGUGGUAUUAUGGGGUUGCUUGUUAUUUAAUAGGAGAGUGCAUCUGUUGAUGUUUAGCUAGAUCUGUGGAAAAGCCUGUUAGUAAGUAACGAAAAAUCUUUUACUGUGUUCUUUUUGGAUCAAAUUUUUUCACAUGUUUUUGAGUUUGUCAAAGGUUGUUAUUUAGUGUCCUAUUUUAUUGCUAUUAAGUUGUUUAACGUGAGUUGUGUUUGCUAGGAUUUAGGAAGUAGUUGAGGCUGAUUUGGAUUAUAUUUAAAGGAAUUCAAAAUGAGUAAAACCCUCUGGUUUUUCAACAUCUGGUAUCUGAGCUUGAUUUUUAGUUGGAGGAGGCCUGAGUAACUAUCUAAUUGCGAGCAACAAUGUUGGGAUCAUUCAAUUGUGCAUGCAAUUCCCUUCUUCAAAGGCAGUGGAUAUAAAGUCUGGAGCACAAAGAUGAAGACUCUCUUCAUGUCACAAGAUUUAUGGGAGCUGGUCGAGAAUGGCUAUGUUGAAGAGGGUGUACCAACUGAGUCUCUUAAAGAUGUUCGAAAGAGAGAUGCCAAAGCUCUCUUUUUCAUCUAACAAGUAGUGAAUGAUUCAAUCUUCCCCCGAAUUUCAGCGGCAACAAGAUCGAAGGAAGUAAGGGAUGCACUCAAGAAUGGGUAUCAAGGGACAACAAAGGUGGUACUGUCAAGCUUCAAACUUUUCGAAGGAAGUUCGAAAGUUCGUUCAUGAAAGAUACAAAGUCAAUGGACUAAUACUUUUGCAAUCUGAUGGAAAUGGUGAAUAAAAUGAGGAAGUACGAUGAGCAACUUUCAGACUAGAAAGUUGCGAAGAAGAUCUUAAGGAGCUUGCCAAGAAAGUAUGAAUCUACAGUGGCUGCAAUAGAAGAGUCUAAGGAUUUAACGACGCUCACAGUUGAUGAGUUGUUGGGUUUUCUAUAAUCUCCUGAAGAUAGAUGGGAAGGCUGUGAAGAAAGCCCAGUUGAGAAGGCCUUCUACACUAAAUUGCAUUUGUUUAAAGAUAAUCAAAUGACGCAAGAACGCGACAUCUAUUGUAACAAUCAUGGAGGCAAUUCCUCUCGAGGAAGAAGAGGUGGACGAAGCUACAAAGGAGGAGCACGAGUAAAUAACCACAACUAGUCUAGCAGUAAUAGUAAUACAAAUACCUGAAAGUUUCGCUGUCAUUUCUGUAACAAGUAUGGCCAUAUAGAAAAGUAUUGUAAGCUGAAAGAACAACAAACAAAAUUUAUUGAGCAAGAAGAAAAAAGUGUGUGAAAUCUUAUUUCUUGCAUGUUAUAAUGCUAAAGUUUGUGAAUCAGAUGUUUGGUAUAUGGAUAGUGGGUGCAGCUAUCAUAUGACAACAAACUUGGAGGCCUUCAUCAAUUUAGACAAAUCGAUAAAGACUAGAGUGAAGAUGGGUGAUGGGGUUGUUCGUGAAGCACAAGGGAAGGGAAUUAUGAAGAUUAAUUUUACAAGAGCUGGGUGCACCAAUGACGUUCUUUAUAUCCCUGAUCUGGAUUCAAACCUGUUGAGCGUUGGGCAACUUCUAAGACAAGGAAAGCACUCUCAGCCUCAUUGGAAGAUGACAACUGGUUGUGGCAUCAUAGGUAUGGACAUCUGAACUUUGCAAGUCUGAAUUUUCUGUCUAAACAUAAUCUGGUGCAUAGGUUGCCUAUUAUAAACCAUGGUGCUGAUGUCUGUGAAAGUUUUGUGAUUGGAAAGCAUCAUAAAGAUUGUUUUCCUGAAGGCAAAAUCAAGAGAGCUUCCUAGGUAGCUGAACUGAUACAUGCUGAUGUUUGCGGACCAAUGCGCACUUCGUCUCUUAAUGGCAGCAGGUACUUUGUUGUAUUUAUUGAUGACUAUAGUUGAAUGACUUGGGUUUUCUUUAUUAAAGAAAAGCCAGUGGUGCUGCCAACAUUCAAGAAGUUCAACUACUCUAUUGAGAAGCAAAGUGGCAAUUAAGACUUUAUGGACAGAUCGUGGUGGUGAAUUUGUUUCAGUGGAGUUUGACAAAUUGUGCCAAGAAUUGGGAAUUCAAAGGCAAUUGACAGCUCGUUACGCUCCUCAAUAAAAUGAAGUGGUGAAGAGAAAGAACCAAAGUCUUAUGGAAAUGGCCAAAAGUAUGCUGAAAGUCAAAUGUCUUUUGAAAAGUUUCUGAGCAAAAGCUAUUCAUACUGCUUCAUAUAUCCUAAAUCAAAGUCCUACAUCAGUCUUGUCGAAUCAAAAUACCUUUUGAGGCAUGGUAUGGGUGGAAUCCAAAGGUAAAACAUUUUAAAAUCUUUGGUUUUGUUGCUUAUGUGUUAGUGCCAUUUUAAAAAGAGAAAAAUUUGAUGAAAAUAGUGUGAAAUGUGUAUUUGUGGGCUAUAGCAUGGAAACAAAGGGUCACCGUUUUUAUGAUCCUUCUUCUAACAAAUUUCUAAUAAGUUGUGAUGUUGUUUUUGAUGAGAAAAAUCCAUGAAAUUGAUAUGAGAUGUAGACAGGUGUUAGUUAUAUUCAAGAUGACAAAUUCAUUGAAUCGAUAGAGUACAUAGAAGAUGGUGGUUCGGGCUCUUCAACACUUAACAUUAGUCCUUCAUCACCCGGAACAAAUGUUUCCAGCUCUUCAUCACGAAGCUCCUCUUCUUCAAGCACACCUCCACACAAAUGGAGGUCAUUAGCUGAAAUAUAUGCACAAAGGGAGUAAUGCAGUUUGCAAAAAUUGAAGAGCCAAGUAGCUUUGAAGAAGCUAUAAAAAGCAGUAAAUGGUAUGAUGCGAUGGAUGAGAAGAUGGCAGCAUUGGAGAAAAACAAAACUUAGGAGCUUUUUGACAUCUCAUUUGAAACGGGUGUAUAAACUCAAAUACAAACUUGAUGGAUCAAUUCAAAAAUUCAAAGCUCAAAUAGUUGCCUAUGGAUACAUGUAACGAGAAGGCAUUGAUUUCGAAUAAACAUUCUCUUCGGUGGCCAGGUUUGGCACCAUUUGAACUGUUUUAUCAAUUGUUACACAUAAUAAAUGGAAAGUUUUUCAAUUUGAUGUCAAA